GAGGCCGCAGAGAAAAGGCCCAAGCGACUGUUUACCAAAAACACAGGUCCCUGCUAAAGCGAAAGCUGACGUAUAGGGGCUGACGCCUGCCCGGUGCUGGAAGGUUAAGGGGAAGUGUUAGACGCAAGUCGAAGCAGAGAACUGAAGCCCCAGUAAACGGCGGCCGUAACUAUAACGGUCCUAAGGUAGCGAAAUUCCUUGUCAGGUAAGUUCUGACCCGCACGAAAGGCGUAACGAUUUGGGCACUGUCUCAACGAGGGGCUCGGUGAAAUUGUAAUGACGGUGAAGAU
rnacentral:rRNA from 1 species